UGUAGCAAUACAAGGCAGACGGCUCAGUAACGCGUAGUCAACCUACCCUAUGGACGGGGAUAACCUCGGGAAACUGAGAAUAAUACCCGAUAGAACAUUAUACCUGGAAUGGUUUAUGUUUCAAAUAAUUUAUUGCCGUAGGAUGGGACUGCGGCCUAUCAGUUUGUUGGUGAGGUAAUGGCCCACCAAGACUAUUACAGGUACGGGCUCUGAGAGGAGUAGCCCGGAGAUGGGUACUGAGACACGGACCCAGGCCCUAUGGGGCGCAGCAGGCGAGAAAACUUUGCAAUGUGCGAAAGCACGACAAGGUUAAUCCGAGUGGUUUCUGCUAAAGGAACCUUUUGUCAGUCCUAGAAACACUGAUGAAUAAGGGGUGGGCAAGUUCUGGUGUCAGCCGCCGCGGUAAAACCAGCACCUCAAGUGGUCAGGAUGAUUAUUGGGCCUAAAGCAUCCGUAGCCUGCUUUGUUAGUUUUCGGUUAAAUCCAUACGCUCAACGUAUGGGCUGCCGGGAAUACUGCAAAGCUAGGGAGUGGGAGAGGUAGACGGUACUCGGUAGGAAGGGGUAAAAUCCUUUGAUCUAUUGAUGACCACCUGUGGCGAAGGCGGUCUACCAGAACACGUCCGACGGUGAGGGAUGAAAGCUGGGGGAGCAAACCGGAUUAGAUACCCGGGUAGUCCCAGCUGUAAACUAUGCAAACUCAGUGAUGCAUUGGCUUGAUGCCAAUGCAGUGCCGCAGGGAAGCCGUUAAGUUUGCCGCCUGGGAAGUACGUACGCAAGUAUGAAACUUAAAGGAAUUGGCGGGGGAGCACCACAAGGGGUGAAGCCUGCGGUUCAAUUGGA
rnacentral:rRNA from 1 species